GAUGAACGCUGGCGGCGUGCCUAAUACAUGCAAGUCGAGCGAACAGACGAGGAGCUUGCUCCUCUGACGUUAGCGGCGGACGGGUGAGUAACACGUUGAUAACCUACCUAUAAGACUGGGAUAACUUCGGGAAACCGGAGCUAAUACCGGAUAAUAUAUUGAACCGCAUGGUUCAAUAGUGAAAGACGGUUUUGCUGUCACUUAUAGAUGGAUCCGCGCCGCAUUAGCUAGUUGGUAAGGUAACGGCGUACCAAGGCGACGAUGCGUAGCCGACCUGAGAGGGUGAUCGGCCACACUGGAACUGAGACACGGUCCAGACCCCUACGGGAGGCAGAAGUAGGGAAUCUUCCGCAAUGGGCGAAAGCCUGAUGGAGCAACGCCGCGUGAGUGAUGAAGGUCUUCGGAUCGUAAAACUCUGUUAUUAGGGAAGAACAAAUGUGUAAGUAACUAUGAACGUCUUGACGGUACCUAAUCAGAAAGCCACGGCUAACUACGUG
rnacentral:rRNA from 1 species